ensembl:ncRNA C48A7.14 ncRNA
UUGUUCUGAAUGGUUUAAAAAAUGAGAAAAGAUAAUGUAGAAUUAUGUAAUGCGGCGUGACGGCACCCGGAAAAGUGUCGGCCAUCACAGAGCUGAAGAGCAUCAUCCUCCAUUGGCUCAGCGGCGGUCUUACUCUCUUAUUCCUCUCUAUUUCUCUUUCUCUGAAAGAAAAAAGAAAGAGUCCCCGUGUCCACAUUUUUUGGCGACGAGAGGCAUCGAGACGCAGGUGCUAAAAGAGAGCAAAACUCGCAAAACGACUAUAGUUGAAACCAUUGAUAUCCGUCCGAGUGAGGAGCCGCCCGGCCAUCUUGCUUCUCUUUUCUGUGUGGAGCUUCUUCAUUCUUGACUUU